rnacentral:rRNA from 1 species
AUUGAACGCUGGCGGCAUGCCUUACACAUGCAAGUCGAACGGUAACAGGUUAAGCUGACGAGUGGCGAACGGGUGAGUAAUGUAUCGGAACGUGCCCAGUCGUGGGGGAUAACUGCUCGAAAGAGCAGCUAAUACCGCAUACGACCUGAGGGUGAAAGCGGGGGAUCGCAAGACCUCGCGCGAUUGGAGCGGCCGAUAUCGGAUGAGGUAGUUGGUGAGGUAAAGGCUCACCAAGCCGACGAUCGGUAGCUGGUCUGAGAGGACGACCAGCCACACUGGGACUGAGACACGGCCCAGACUCCUACGGGAGGCAGCAGUGGGGAAUUUUGGACAAUGGGCGCAAGCCUGAUCCAGCCAUGCCGCGUGCGGGAAGAAGGCCUUCGGGUUGUAAACCGCUUUUGUCAGGGAAGAAAAGGUUCUGGCUAAUACCUGGGACUCAUGACGGUACCUGAAGAAUAAGCACCGGCUAACUACGUGCCAGCCGCCGCCGUAACAC